GAUGAACGCUGGCGGCGUGCUUAACACAUGCAAGUCGAACGAACCUUCGGGUUAGUGGCGGACGGGUGAGUAACGCGUGGGAAUCUGCCCUCAGGAGGGGGAUAACGGCUGGAAACGGCCGCUAAUACCCCAUAUGCCGCGAGGUGAAAUGAAUUUCGCCUGAGGAUGAGCCCGCGUCUGAUUAGCUAGUUGGUGGGGUAAAGGCCUACCAAGGCGACGAUCAGUAGCUGGUCUGAGAGGAUGAUCAGCCACACUGGGACUGAGACACGGCCCAGACUCCUACGGGAGGCAGCAGUGGGGAAUUUUCCGCAAUGGGCGAAAGCCUGACGGAGCAACGCCGCGUGAGGGAUGAAGGCCUCUGGGCUGUAAACCUCUUUCUC
rnacentral:rRNA from 1 species